UUCAAUUUUUCAUGUAAAGAGAUUAAAUACCUGAUCAAUGAUACUCUCUGCAACAAUACUAGAGAUUGUCAGAACAAUGGAGUUUGCAACAAUUUUAACCAUUGCCAUUGUAAAGCUGGGUUUAGUCCUCCUAGUUGCAGUCCAAAGCCAAAAGCAUUUGGAAGUGUGGAUGAUGGGCAUAUAUCUGAAACAGGUAAAAGUUUCUCCAUCCAAAGAUCUCCGAAACGCCAAAUUCAACUGAUUUUCUACAUUUCUUUACCUUUGCUUAUCAUUAUUGCUGCUGUUUUAAUAAAGCAGGAUAAAAUAAGAGAGCUAUGCUACAGAGAUGAAACUGGAAGUGAGAGGUCUGUGUCAGAAGAAGGCAGCAAUAACAGCACGUUAUCCCCAAGUGUAAGCAACAGUCUCUGACAACCUUGGCCUGGAGAGGGGAUAAAUCCAAAUAAAUAAUCAGAAACUGGCUAAACCAAGAAGAGAAAAACAUAAUUUAUUCCUCACCUCUGAUGUCACUGCUGAAGGUUUAAAUUAUGAAAUAAUAAAUCAUCUGCUUCUGAAUCACCUGAA